rnacentral:misc_RNA from 1 species
AGAACUCAUUAAUGCUGACAGACUAUAACCAUCAGAACAUUUCAGAUGCACCGGUCAGUAUUUACUUUCAUAGACAUACAGUGAAAGCAACAUUAUAUGAUAAAACAAACAAGGAAAGAAGCAGAGUAAUUCCAGUUCUUAUACAUACAACCCAAAGACCAAUGGAAUCCUAUAGUUAAAAAACAAGAGCAAAUAAGAAUAUUGCAAACAAGAGGACUCCAUGAAAGUUUGUGAAUCAUUGUCCAUGCUCCUCGUGAGCACAACAGAACAAUAAUGUAAGAAAGUGCUUGUCACUUAUGACGGCCACUGAUGUCUCGGUCUGCCCAUUUCAAGACUAUCACAAUAUUACUGAAAAGAAUCACACUAAAACAAAAUAAACAUGUAACUAACAUAUAACUAAUCUCUUUUUUGCUCUAUUAGUAAGUUUUAAUUUUAGGAAUUAGGUGUUUUAACUUUCAAUUCUACCAGUAUGAGCUACUCAGAUUAAAUUACUAAUAGUUAAUCCAAUUGUCUGCAUCAAUUGAUCAUACUACUAGAAGCAUAUCGUGCUCAAGAGUUCAUGGAUGAUGGUCGCAUGCUUAACAUAGUAAAUUGAUCAUUUUAACUCAGUUCCUUCUCCCCUCAAGUUUGUCCAACCACUGUAGUUUUAGCCAUCGGUCCCAAAUAAAAGCUGCAAUUGUGAUGAGCUUAGGGAUACCUCCCACUAUUUUAGUUGUCGUUGGAAAUGGAAUAAAUUUGACUCGGAAACAAUUCAGUGAUAAACUGAAAAAUCUUCAAAGUUUAAACACCUAAUAGCUAAAAUUAAAACUUUUUGAUAGAAUUGAAAAACUGCAUAAGUUCAAGAUUUUUUUUUUUGGCAAUUAAAAAAAAAAAA